UCUGUACAUCACUACUUACUGCUGCCCACAAA
rnacentral:piRNA from 1 species